AAUAGAUACCCCGGUAGUCCACGCUGUAAACUAUGAUCACUCGCUGCUGGCGAUAUAAUGUCAGUGGCCAAGCGAAAGCGUUAAGUGAUCCACCUGGGGAGUACGCCGGCAACGGUGAAACUCAAAGGAAUUGACGGGGGCCCGCACAAGCGGUGGAGCAUGUGGUUUAAUUCGAUGAUACGCGAGGAACCUUACCAGGGCUUAAAUGCAGAACGACAUUCUGGGAAACUAGAACUUCUUCGGACGGUUUGCAAGGUGCUGCAUGGUUGUCGUCAGCUCGUGCCGUGAGGUGUCGGGUUAAGUCCCAUAACGAGCGCAACCCCUAUUCUUAGUUGCCAGCGGGUAAUGCCGGGGACUCUAAGAAAACUGCCAGCGCAAGCUGUGAGGAAGGUGGGGAUGACGUCAAAUCAUCACGGCCCUUACGUCCUGGGCUACACACGUGCUACAAUGGUGAGUACAGAGGGCAGCCACUCGGCGACGAGGAGCUAAUCCUUAAAACUCAUCUCAGUUCGGAUCGUAGUCUGA
rnacentral:rRNA from 1 species